rnacentral:rRNA from 1 species
UACGAAGGGGGCUAGCGUUGUUCGGAUUUACUGGGCGUAAAGCGCACGUAGGCGGAUCGUUAAGUCGGGGGUGAAAUCCUGGAGCUCAACUCCAGAACUGCCUUCGAUACUGGCGAUCUUGAGUCCGGAAGAGGUGAGUGGAACUCCUAGUGUAGAGGUGGAAUUCGUAGAUAUUAGGAAGAACACCAGUGGCGAAGGCGGCUCACUGGUCCGGUACUGACGCUAAGGUGCGAAAGCGUGGGGAGCAAACAGG